GGCAGAACUUCAAUUAACUCGAGCGGGGGAAGACGUGGAAAGCAGACACUGAGCAGGGAAGGGAGAUGGAGCAGUGCUGGAGGCGAAGAAGAAGAAAAAACCCGAGAUUAAGCCCUUCUGGUGCGUGUUACCGACCGUGUUCAUUCGGAACAGCCCAAUAAACACUGCAGCAGGGUGAAGUUGGGCUCCCUUCGAUUCCGAAUCCUCCUCCAGCCCGAUACGCAGAAAGAACCCAACCCGCCGUAGAGAUGUGCACGUAUCUAUCCCGAUUUUCACCCAAAUGUAAAAUGUAUGCAGUGAUUUUUAAAGGAU